GGCUGGGACUCAGUACUCCACCCUUGUCAUUGGUUCUCUGGACCCAGGAACUGACCAGACAAACUCAGCCACAGCAAGGCUGCAGCAUUGCAGUUAGAGCCGACUCCAGUCCAGCAUGCGAACUAUUCAUCCCUCGGCUGCAGUUCAUGCGCACACCGCUUUACCAAAGUGGAAUUCCCUGUCUAGGUCCUGGGUGGACAGCGAUGGCGCCCGGGCACCAUUCAGCCCACUGCAGUGGGAAAUCGAGGUGUCUAGGAGACGCCAGACGGUGGAGGACUUGGGUACCUUCAUGCUCCACCCGAGCUACUAAAACGUUAAAACUUAAGAAGACUGUGAAUUGAGGAACCCAGGAUGGCGGACUGAUGAACCCAAAGUCGUCAAAACUACAGACUCAACAGCCUGGCUAAGCCCUAAGGAUCCUCGGGAGCCAGUCCAGCUCCUCACUUCUCUUAGAAGCAGGGAGGCUAUGUCCAUGGGCCCUAAGGCCUAGAUCCUAAUGUGGGCUUCCCUUCCUUUGGAAUGUUCUGGAAAGUACAGCAUGGCUACAGAGUCUUCACAGCCUUGGUUGGGUGGACUCUGAGGACAUUAUGAGAACUGAACCUUCCUCCUCCUUGUUCUAGAGCAUUCUUCCUGUUUCAGAGAUAUUGCCUUGGUCUGUGCUUUUCGAGGUGCUUCCCACAGCCCAAACCUGUGCCUGUACAAAGGUUAAACUGCCCAGAUGACCUCUGCCCCCCCCUUUAAAGUUACAUUGUGAGCAUUUCCCAUGCCAUUAGAUGUCCUCUCUAGCAUUAGAUGUGUCAGAGAUUGCUCAGUCCUUUUCUGUCACCUUGAGUCCACAAUUGUUAAAUGUCAUUCUGCAUCCUGUGGAGACUGGAUCACCACAGCACAGUGAUGUGGCCCAAGGGUCCUGCAGACUGAGGUCCACAGUCAGGGGCCUGGGUGGCCAGUACUAGGGAGAGCCUCUUCUGCCUGUGAAUGGCCGGUCGGUCCCCUUCCCAUGGUGGAGUUUCACUGGCAGAGGGUGGCACUGACCCCAUCAUGGGGACUCAUGUUCAUGCCCAUCUCUAUUGCAGGUACCUUCCAAUCUCUCCUCCCUAGCACCGUCCCAUCAGGGGUAGGCUCAGUGUUGAGAACACAGAUCAGUCCGCAGCAGGCAACACAGUCCUACUGUAUUUACUGUCUUUAUCAUGACUUCUGGAGAGAGGACACAGUGCUUCUGCUUAAAGCUUCUUGGUCAGAAUCGAGAUGCACAGACACACCUAGCCUGUAGGAACCAGGGGAUGUCCCCAGCUAAAAUUAGGAGACUACAUGACAAUACACUCAGAUACAAAGUCAGGACGCAGACCACGUUACGGCAGCACGGAACACUUUGAAUUCUUGCAUUCAGGCAUCUCCAACCUUUGACACCGAGACUCCAUGUCACCAUCUAUAAAGACUUAUAUUCAGGAGACACACAACUAAGUUAUUAUACAUACAUUUCAUUAUGUUUUAAGCAAGUGCAUCAUAUUGGAUUGGGCCCUAGUCAUAGCUACCCUUGGACACAGUAGCCCCGUGUGUCUUCGUUUAUAGAUCAUGCCUUGCGGCCCAAACUGACUGCUUGAGCAGCCGUCAUGGCUCUCGCAUUCCAGCCCAGAGAACCUUCUCCACUGGGUCAUGAUCUAGGGUGAGAAGUUCAGUCUCUCAUAUGAAUGCAGCUCAUCCAUCCAGACGCUGGGGUCCUUAUUACUGUCAGGGAAGGGUGGCAAAGGUUUUCACACUUUUGGCUAUCUCAAGGAUAUUGGACAUGGACACCAAUAGGGCACUCUCUUCUUUGGACAUUCACUGUCCAGAUCCCACCUCUGCUAAGUUAAUAUCACACGCCCCUAAAAGUCACAACUGUCCCGAUUCUUUCUGGUGUGUGAGCUGUCUCUCCAUUAAGCCAUCCACUUGAUGUUGGUUUGCUGAACACAUGUGAGUUGGGCUGAGUGAUUGGCUUGGGCAUCAGAGCCAGCGGCUACCACCUGCGCUCAGGGUAGCUGCCCUGUGAUGAUGCCAGCCCCUCCCUGUAUCUCUCUGAGUGCUGAGCUGUCUGAAUCUGAGCCCCUUCCUGGGGACCCUUGUCUGAAGGGUUGCAGGACUCUUUCUGACACGUUCUAAGUGCUAGAAGAACCUGGGGACAUUUUAGAGUCACUUAAUAGUCAAGAUCAGCCCAGAGGUGGGAGAUGUCCCUUUCCGUGCGGCACUGACCUUCAGCCUAGGCGGUGAUGCUAGGCUGCAAUCCUUGGCUGCACCUCUGUGGUCAGAGGCCUCUGACAGCUCUGCUUGUGCCUUUGCUUCCCGCUCCAAACCUCCCAGAUCAUCUCUCAGACGCAGCAGGCGUGAGAAGGAGGCUGCCUUUCUUCAGUCCCGAGCCUGGAUGGUGACUGGCGAGAGAUGACAUGGCAGUCCUGGA